GAUGAACGCUGGCGGCGUGCCUAAUACAUGCAAGUCGAGCGAACGGACGAGAAGCUUGCUUCUCUGAUGUUAGCGGCGGACGGGUGAGUAACACGUGGAUAACCUACCUAUAAGACUGGGAUAACUUCGGGAAACCGUAGCUAAUACCGGAUAAUAUUUUGAACCGCAUGGUUCAAAAGUGAAAGACGGUCUUGCUGUCACUUAUAGAUGGAUCCGCGCUGCAUUAGCUAGUUGGUAAGGUAACGGCUUACCAAGGCAACGAUGCAUAGCCGACCUGAGAGGGUGAUCGGCCACACUGGAACUGAGACACGGUCCCGACUCCUACGGGAGGCAGCAGUAUGGAAUCUUCCGCAAUGGGCGAAUGCCUGACGGAGCAACGCCGCGUGAGUGAUGAAGGUCUUCGGAUCGUAAAACUCUGUUAUUAGGGAAGAACAUAUGUGUAAGUAACUGUGCACAUCUUGACGGUACCUAAUCAGAAAGCCACGGCUAACUACGUG
rnacentral:rRNA from 1 species